rnacentral:lncRNA from 1 species
UACUCACCGGUCCAGCCCAGAACCCGAAAGAGGAUCCAUCCAUCCAUCUUGCAGACCCGCCUACCCGCGCCCUGAGAGAAUCAGAGGCCGUUACGCAUGGGGAAGAGAUUUGAUUCCCUCGUACGUCCGUAUCAGCGUGGCAGGGACAGGUGGUCUACUGAUACUCGUUCUAUUGGCACGUCACUAGCAGACAAAAGGAAACCUAUAAAAGGAGAAAUACUCUCUUCUAGGUUUAAGCUUUUUCUAAGUUUUACAGAGCCCAUUGUAAAAACCCUAUUUCUCUGGAUCUCAGAUCAUCAAUUGGCGCCGUCUGUGGGAAACGAAGGAGAUCUUUUCAUCACCGGAGUUCCACUCUUAACAAAACCCACUGAGAUCCACGAUGGCUAAUCACAACGAAAACAACCUUAACAUCCCAAAUGACCUAAGCUCUGCCCAAGAGGGGCAGCAGUUCUCCUUUUCUAGUCCUAC